GCAGUAGCCACGGUAAAACGGAGGGUGCAAGCGUUAUCCGGAUUUAUUGGGUUUAAAGGGUCCGUAGGCGGACUUAUAAGUCAGUGGUGAAAGCCUGUCGCUUAACGAUAGAACUGCCAUUGAUACUGUAAGUCUUGAGUAUAUUUGAGGUAGCUGGAAUAAGUAGUGUAGCGGUGAAAUGCAUAGAUAUUACUUAGAACACCAAUUGCGAAGGCAGGUUACCAAGAUAUAACUGACGCUGAGGGACGAAAGCGUGGGUAGCGAACAGGAUUAGAUACCCCAGUAGUCCCUGUCUCUUAUAA
rnacentral:rRNA from 1 species